rnacentral:rRNA from 1 species
UUAUGGCUCAGGAUGAACGCUAGCUACAGGCUAACACAUGCAAGUCGAGGGGCAGCAUGUGGUUGCUUGCAACCAAUGAUGGCGACCGGCGCACGGGUGAGUAACGCGUAUCCAACCUUCCCCUUAGUAGAGGAUAGCCCGGCGAAAGUCGGAUUAAUACUCUAUGUUCUUCAAUGCGGACAUCUAAGUUGAAGCAAAGAUUUAUCGCUAAGGGAUGGGGAUGCGUCUGAUUAGGUUGCAGGCGGGGUAACGGCCCACCUGGCCUACGAUCAGUAGGGGUUCUGAGAGGAAGGUCCCCCACACUGGUACUGAGACACGGACCAGACUCCUACGGGAGGCAGCAGUGAGGAAUAUUGGUCAAUGGGCGCGAGCCUGAACCAGCCAAGUAGCGUGCAGGACGACUGCCCUAUGGGUUGUAAACUGCUUUUAUCAGGGAAUAAAGUGAGGCACGCGUGCCUUUUUGUAUGUACCUGAUGAAUAAGGACCGGCUAAUUCCGUGCCAGCCGCGGC